rnacentral:rRNA from 1 species
GAUUCUGGCUCAGGACGAACGCUGGCGGCGUGCCUAACACAUGCAAGUCGAGCGAGGAGAUUCCUUCGGGAUGAUCCUAGCGGCGGACGGGUGAGUAACACGUGGGCAACCUGCCUCAUAGAGAGGAAUAGCCUUCCGAAAGGGAGAUUAAUACCUCAUAACAUUGCAGUUUCGCAUGGAACAGCAAUUAAAGGAGUAAUCCGCUAUGAGAUGGGCCCGCGGCGCAUUAGCUAGUUGGUGAGGUAACGGCUCACCAAGGCGACGAUGCGUAGCCGACCUGAGAGGGUGAUCGGCCACAUUGGGACUGAGACACGGCCCAGACUCCUACGGGAGGCGGCAGUGGGGAAUAUUGCACAAUGGGGGAAACCCCGAUGCAAGCAACGCCGCGUGAGUGAUGACGGCCUUCGGGUUGUAAAGCUCUGUCUUCAGGGACGAUAAUGACGGUACCUGAGGAGGAAGCCACGGCUAACUACGUGCCAGCCGCAGC